rnacentral:rRNA from 1 species
UAUCACUCUUGGAUGGACCUGCGGUGCAUUAGCUAGUUGGUAAGGUAACGGCUUACCAAGGCAAUGAUGCAUAGCCGAGUUGAGAGACUGAUCGGCCACAUUGGGACUGAGACACGGCCCAAACUCCUACGGGAGGCAGCAGUAGGGAAUCUUCCACAAUGGACGAAAGUCUGAUGGAGCAACGCCGCGUGAGUGAAGAAGGGUUUCGGCUCGUAAAGCUCUGUUGGUAGUGAAGAAAGAUAGAGGUAGUAACUGGCCUUUAUUUGACGGUAAUUACUUAGAAAGUCACGGCUAACUACGUGCCAGCAGCCGCGGUAAUACGUAGGUGGCAAGCGUUGUCCGGAUUUAUUGGGCGUAAAGCGAGUGCAGGCGGUUCAAUAAGUCUGAUGUGAAAGCCUUCGGCUCAACCGGAGAAUUGCAUCAGAAACUGUUGAACUUGAGUGCAGAAGAGGAGAGUGGAACUCCAUGUGUAGCGGUGGAAUGCGUAGAUAUAUGGAAGAACACCAGUGGCGAAGGCGGCUCUCUGGUCUGCAACUGACGCUGAGGCUCGAAAGCAUGGGUAGCGAACAGGAUUAGAUACCCUGGUAGUCCAUGCCGUAAACGAUGAGUGCUAAGUGUUGGGAGGUUUCCGCCUCUCAGUGCU